rnacentral:rRNA from 1 species
CCCUUAGAUGUUCUGGGCCGCACGCGUGCUACACUGAGUGGAUCAGCGGGUCAGGUUGCGCGAAAGCGUUUCCUAAUCUUUAAAUCCGCUCGUGAUGGGGAUUGACGGUUGCAAUUUUCUGUCAUGAACGAGGAAUACCUUGUAAGCGCGGGUCAUCAUCCCGCGCUGAAUACGUCCCUGCCCUUUGUACACACCGCCCGUCGCUCCUACCGAUUGAGUGUCCGGUGAGGCUUUGGGAUCUGAGCGGAAAGAGCGUUUCGCUGUUUCUGCUCGGAAAACUCAGUCGAACCUUAUCAUUUAGAGGAAGGAGAAGUCGUAACA